GUUGAAAUAGCUCAAUGGGAGAGCGACAGACUGAAAAUAUGGUUCAAUCCCAAGUUUCAACAACUUUUUAUCCACCUUGUACUAUCUAAAUUUAAAUUUGGCGCGACAUACGAACCGUGCUGUCAACUUCUUGUACCUGAAGAACUUAUGUCACACAAAUCACCAUCCUUCUCCACCUUCAACAGCCACAGGUCAUUACCGUCAACUUCUUGUACCUGAAGAACUUACGUCAUUCCACAACAGAAGGCGUUAGUAUCAAUUCAUGUUAACCGAGACAAAGAGUUUGAGUACCAAGGCCCUGGAUUCAAUUCCCAGUUUCAACA